GGCGAUCAGAUACCGCCCUAGUUCAGACCGUAAACGAUGCCAUCUGGCGAUCCACCGGCGUUAUGUAUGACUCGGUGGGCAGCCACCGGUAAACCUUUAAGUCAGGUUCCGGGGGAAGUAUGGUUGCAAAGCUGAAACUUAAAGGAAUUGACGGAAGGGCACCACCAGGAGUGGAGCCUGCGGCUUAAUUUGACUCAACACGGGGAAACUCACCCGGCCCGGACACCGUAAGGAUUGACAGAUUGAUAGCUCUUUCUUGAUUCGGUGGGUGGUGGUGCAUGGCCGUUCUUAGUUGGUGGAGCGAUUUGUCUGGUUUAUUCCGAUAACGAACGAGACUCUAGCCUACUAAAUAGACAGUACUUCCUUAGAGUGCUGCGCUUCUUAGAGGGACAAGCGACUUCUAGUCGCACGAGAUUGAGCAAUAACAGGUCUGUGAUGCCCUUAGAUGUUCGGGGCUGCACGCGCGCUACACUGAAGGCAUCAUCAUGUCUAUCAGCCUACCCCGGAAGGGGCGGGUAACCCGAUGAAACGCCUUCGUGAUUGGGAUAGGGAAUUGCAAUUAUUUCCCUUGAACGAGGAAUUCCCAGUAAGUGCGGGUCAUCAGCUCGCGCUGAUUACGUCCCUGCCCUUUGUA
rnacentral:rRNA from 1 species